rnacentral:lncRNA from 1 species
GUGAUCCUCGCCGCGGCGGUGGUUGAUCAUCACGGAGGAGACCUCGAUCGUCCUGCACAUCUCUUCCUCCGAGGACGACGAUCCUUCGCCGUCUUCGAACCGUGGCGGUUGAUCUCCUCCUCCUCCUCCCGUGGCGGUAAAAUUGUGAUCGAAUUUCAUGGCGAUGAAAGAGAGAGAAAGAGAGAUGGAGGAGGAAGGGAUCUGAGGAAGGAAUAUUCGGUUAGAUACUAGAUACUAGAUACUAGUCAGUUGUUGAAUUUUGGCG